UGGGGAAUAUUGGACAAUGGGCGCAAGCCUGAUCCAGCCAUGCCGCGUGAGUGAUGAAGGCCUUAGGGUUGUAAAGCUCUUUCACCGGGGAAGAUGAUGACGGUACCCGGAGAAGAAGCCCCGGCUAACUCCGUGCCAGCAGCCGCGGUAAUACGGAGGGGGCGAGCGUUGUUCGGAAUUACUGGGCGUAAAGGGCGCGUAGGCGGUUCGCCGCGUCAGGUGUGAAAGCCCCGGGCUCAACCUGGGAGGUGCAUCUGAUACGGGCGGACUUGAGAGCGGGAGAGGAGUGUGGAAUUCCCAGUGUAGAGGUGAAAUUCGUAGAUAUUGGGAAGAACACCAGUGGCGAAGGCGGCACUCUGGCCCGUUUCUGACGCUGAGGCGCGAAAGCGUGGGGAGCAAACA
rnacentral:rRNA from 1 species